rnacentral:rRNA from 1 species
AUUGAACGCUGGCGGCAGGCCUAACACAUGCAAGUCGAGCGAGCGGCGGACGGGUGAGUAAUUUCUGGGGAUCUGCCUGAUCGAGGGGGAUAACUACUGGAAACGGUGGCUAAUACCGCAUACUAUCGGAUCAGCCCAUAUGGUAUUAGCUAGUAGGUGGGGUAAAGGCUCACCUAGGCGACGAUCCCUAGCUGGUCUGAGAGGAUGACCAGCCACACUGGGACUGAGACACGGCCCAGACUCCUACGGGAGGCAGCAGUGGGGAAUAUUGCACAAUGGGCGCAAGCCUGAUGCAGCCAUGCCGCGUGUAUGAAGAAGGCCUUCGGGUUGUAAAGCACUUUCAGCGGGGAGGCGUUACCCGAAGAAGAAGCACCGGCUAACUCCGUGCCAGCAGCCGCGGUAAUAC